rnacentral:rRNA from 1 species
UACAGAGGUCCCAAGCGUUGUUCGGAUUCACUGGGCGUAAAGGGUGCGUAGGUGGUUGGUUAAGUCUGAUGUGAAAUCUCCGAGCUUAACUCGGAAAUGGCAUUGGAAACUAUUCGACUAGAGAGUUGGAGGGGGGACUGGAAUACUUGGUGUAGCAGUGAAAUGCGUAGAGAUCGUAAGGAAGACCAGUGGCGAAGGCGGGUCUCUGGACAGUUCCUGACGCUGAGGCACGAAGGCCAGGGGAGCAAACGGG